UCUGAACCCCCCCCCCCCAUUCCAUCUUCUCUCUUUAGUUUGCUUGUGUAAUUGUAAAUUGUGCGCACUUUGAUUUGCUGUGGUAAUAAAAAUUAUUUCUCAUUUGGCACACGAAAUGAUUUCCGUAUGUCAACAGACAGGGGCGUCGUUAAAGGUUUUCACCCGGGGGUUUAUGUUUUACUAUUUUUUAUACAUAUCUUAUUUUUUUGCAAUUUAUUUGACUACAUUUUCACAAUUUAUAGUCAUUGUUUCUGGCGAUUUGAAUUAUGGCCCAGACGGCAAUGCGGCAUUCGGGAUGGGUAGAACAUCCUUUUGGAGGACAUGUCUGACGACAGUUGGCGUCAUGUAACAAAACAAGUAAUAUAUACAAAAUGGAUGUGUGCGUUUUAGAGGCCAUGCAAAAUUGUGAGACACGUGCGUGGAGCCAAUGACAGAACGAAAUGUUUGGAAUAGGUUUUCUUACUGGAGUGGGAGGUUUCAAUCAAAGUCUGCUGACAGAACUGCUUCUUUUGGAACACAUAAGGAAGCGAUUAUGGUUUUCAAUUCGAUAAGGA